UACAGAGGGUGCAAGCGUUAAUCGGAAUUACUGGGCGUAAAGCGUGCGUAGACGGUUAUGUAAGUCGGGUGUGAAAGCCCCGGGCUCAACCUGGGAAUUGCAAUGGAGACUGCAAGGCUAGAGUUUGGCAGAGGGGGUAGAAUUCCACGUGUAGCAGUGAAAUGCGUAGAGAUGUGGAGGAACACCGAUGGCGAAGGCAGCCCCCUGGGUCAAGACUGACGCUCAUGCACGAAAGCGUGGGGAGCAAACAGG
rnacentral:rRNA from 1 species